GACGAACGCUGGCGGCGUGCUUAAUACAUGCAAGUAGAACGGAAAGGCGCUGCUCUUGUGGGGUGCUCGAGUGGCGAAAGGGUGAGUAUCACGUGAGUAUCAUGCCCUUGACUUUGGGAUAACUUUAGGAAACUGGGGAUCUUAUCGGACAGGAGCUUCUGCUGCAUGGUGGGGGUAGGUAAGUUUCGCGGGUUGGGGACGGACUGGCGGAGUGUCAGUUUGUUGGUGGGGAUGUGGAUUACCAAGGCUCGGACGGGUAGCCGGACUGAGAGGGUGACCGGCCACAGUGGGCUUGGGAAAGGGCCCAGACUGCUACGGGGGGCAGCGGUGGAGAAUUUUGCACAAUGGGCGGAAGCCGGAUGCAGCAACGCCGCGUGCGAGAUGUCGGCCGUCGGUUUGGAAACCGCUUUCGCCUGUGACGAAGCGUGAGUGACGGUAAUGGAUAAAGAAGCACCGGCUAACUACGUG
rnacentral:rRNA from 1 species